GGAAGGAUCAUUACAGAAUUGUCAACGGGUUGUUGCUGGUCCUCGAACGGGGACAUGUGCACGCUCUGUUUACACAUCCACUCACACCUGUGCACCCUCCGUAGUUCUGUGGUCUGGGGGACCCCUGUCCUCCUGCCGUGGUUCUAUGUCUUUACACACACACUGUAAUAAAGUAUUAUGGAAUGCAUGCCGCGUCUAACGCAAUACAAUACAACUUUCAGCAACGGAUCUCUUGGCUCUCGCAUCGAUGAAGAACGCAGCGAAAUGCGAUAAGUAAUGUGAAUUGCAGAAUUCAGUGAAUCAUCGAAUCUUUGAACGCACCUUGCGCCCCUUGGCUAUUCCGAGGGGCAUGCCUGUUUGAGUAUCAUGAACACCUCAACUCUCACGGUUCGCCGUGAUGAGCUUGGACUCUGGGGGUUUUGCUGGCCUGCGGUCGGCUCCCCUCAAAUGAAUCAGCCUCCCAGUGUUUGGUGGCAUCACGGGUGUGAUAAAUAUCUACGCUCGCAGUUGUCCGCCAGGUAACCUUUGGUGAAAAAGGUUCGCUGGAGCUCACAGAUGUCUCUCCUCAGCGAGGACAGCUUUUUGAACGUUCGAUCUCAAAUCAGGUAGGACUACCCGCUGAACUUAAGCAUA
rnacentral:sRNA from 1 species